AAAAUAAAACUAAUAAAAACAAUAAAUGUAAUAAAACCGGGUUAAUGUUUAAAUUAUACAGAAUAAAUAGAGGAGCAACAGAUAAAGGUUCAAAGCAAUUUGUAACCAAGUUGCUAAAUAAUCGUUACUAGCAGAACCAGGCCUGACCAAGCUGGGGGUCAGGACAUCAAAUUUAAAAUUAAAAACUAAUCAUGAUUUACAGGUAUAGAAAGUGAAAGUAUAUGUAAUACAGAUUAUUUAUAUGGUUUAUACAUCUACAGUAGGAAGAUAUACUGCACAUGUACAGAUUGCACCACUGCUAAAUAGGUUAUGCUUAUUGAAAGCAGAUUUUACUUAAUUUAAGUUUUUAAAAUAACAUAGCAUGUGAAAAAAAACAUUACAAACUGACUCACAAAAACAAAACAACCAUCUACAUUAAUACAAUAAUAUACUGUAAAUACUGUACAACUGGGUUAUAUUUAUGACCAAUUGAGAAGCAGGUUUAGGGAAUGAUAAACCAGAACUACCAACAUACGGUGGGGUCACCAAGUAUUGAAAACCAAGCAUUUAAUUAUAUAGCAUCAACUAUAUUUAGACCAGCAUUUAAUUGAUGUAUGACUGUUAAAUCAACAGCUUGACCAGAGUCGCUAGAUUUUUCUACAAAGCUCAAUCUGAAGCAAAUAGUCAUUCUAUAGAUAUCGUGUUUCAGUUAGACAAAACAAAUCCAGUGGUCAAUGAACUGAGAACUCACUGCAAAUCAAAGCCAUGUAAUUGUAUUACCAAAUCAGAGUAAUUCUAGUAGGUACCCUUGGCAAAGAGCGCAGAGGUUUAGAGACCGCUCCUGUUGCAAUUUGGAGAAAAUAGUACAGGCAGCCAUAAACGCCACCAGAGCCCUCAAAUUAAUGCUAUUGUCAAUGGGACUAGAAAGCAUUACUAUUGCAAUUAGAUUUAUUAUUAUAGACCAAACCUUUUUGAUGGAUGGAUGUUUGCCCGUUAUGCCUUCCGGCAUGUAGGGGCAGCAACAUCCUGUUGCUUUUACUGUAAAAUUAGUUUUUUAUGGGACAGAAUUGUAAGCCUUUUGCCCAACCUCCAACAUGGAGGAUCUGGCGCCCGACGUGGGACACAAACCCAGUACCCUGAGAUUAUGAGUCUCAUGCUCUACCAACAGAGCUAGGCCCUAAACCUUGUUGGUACGGACAGUAGCUCUGAAAACCUCAACUACAGAAGUUAUCAUAACAAAAGAACAAAAGAAGAAAGAGGAAACACAACAAUCAAGACAGGAUAAUAGGUCACGAUUACUAAACUAAAAAAGUACCACCAGUCCACAUGUAGUGUCUUUCACAAUCAGUAAGACUUGGCAGCAAAGAUUGCUACAAUUGCGAGGCAUGGUGGCACAGUGCUUAGAAUUGCUCCCUCAUAGCAUAGGACUCCGGAUUUCAAUCUGGAACUAUAUGUGUGGAGUUUGUAUGUUCUUCCUGUGUUUGCAUGUGUUUCCUUCAGGUGCUCUGGUUGUCUCCUGCAGUCCAAAAACAUAUUGGUGUUACACCACGCCCCCAGAGGACUUAUCAUUCCACCUCACAUUCCAGCACGGUUCCAAUUAGCCAAUUUACCCCAGCCUAUUUAAUGCUGCUUCACACUCUCCUCUGUGCUCAGUAUUGGGCUUUUUCCUGGCUAGCACUACUUCCAUUUUCACUACAACUUGCUACUUGGUUUUUGGCUUCCUGACCCUGGUUUGUUCUCUGACUACGUCUCCAGGUUUUGGUUUUGGUACUUUGGUUAUUGUUCUGGUUUCGACUCUCGGCUUCCUCACAGCUUACGGCUCCGCUUCUGGUUUUGGACUUUUGCACCGGCUUGUUUACCUACAGCUUUCGGACCUCGGAUUGUUAUAUCAACUACGCCUCUGGAGAUUGUUCUGGUUUUCUGCAUAGGGUCCUCACUACUAUUUCCAAACAAUUGGUAAGUUAAUUGCCUUUUGGGAAAAUUGGACCUGGUGUGUGGUGUGUGUUUGUGUCUGUCAGCAUCCCGUCCAGGGUGUACUCUGCCUUGCGUCCUUUGCUUGCAUGGAUAUGCACCUCUGCGACCCUGAAGAAGUCAUGGAAUUUGAAGAAGAGGUUAGAAAAUAGAUGAAUGGAUUGCUACAGUUGUCAGGCCAUCAGCAGCAGGAACACAGACUGAAGCAGCAAAAGCAAUUCUUCAAUAGGCAGCGACUCUUAGGAUCCUCUUGGUGCCUGUGCCUGCAGUGACAUCACUGAGAGAUGGGCCAGUCCUCCAGUCAGUGUCAACUUUACUUUCUUAUCUCUGUCUGACAGCAGAAGAAGACACAGCAUCUGGAUUCAGUAGAGUAGGUCAGAACAACCUGGUUAAGGCAUCCAGCAAAAUGUAAAUUGUUACCAAUCAACAAAGACUGGGUUGGCAAGAAAUACAACUGCAGCUGAUGACAAACAAUAUCAACAAGGAAAACCCCAAACCAACUGCUAGUGCAAUUAUCAACAAACCCCACAGAUGAGACCAAUAAUGUAUAUCCUUUUCCAUCAAUUUGAUCAGGGUUUAAGAUGUGGAGAAACAAAGGAACUGCAGAUACUGUAAAGAACACCAUGUUAUCUGUAAUGCAUGACGGAGCUAAGUUCAUGAACGUGGCAUGCAUGAACUGGUUCAUUCAUCCGUAUUGAUGAUGUAACUAAUGAUAACAGUGGAAGAAUGAAUUCUGAUGAUUAAAGAAAUGUCUGCUUAUGUACAGUAGAAGGAAAUACUUCCAUAGUUUUUGGGCUGCUUUUUACCAUGCACAAGAAAGUAAUAGUAACAUCAAGCAUAUCUACCAAAGAGGUUCUAGGUUCCACAAAGCUAUAUCAAAAUCACAUCUACUGUAUAAGGAAAAUCUACAGUUACAAUGUUUAUUAUGAACAAAUGUUUAUCUUCCAACAACAAAUGUUUAAAAACACAAUUUAUUUUUUAUAUUUAAAAAUAGAAUAAGAUCAAAAAAACAUUUAUAUUGAUGUAGACUGUGCUAGAGUAAGUCUGUUUAACUUAUAUUAUGUCACAGCUAUGUCAAUCGAUCUAUAUAUAGUAUUAUAUACUGUAUGCUGAUAUAUUUUGGUUCCAAAACACAUUGUUCGUUUUCAAUGACUGUCAGUAUACAGUACAAACUCCAAGUGCAAUGUACAAUAAAAUGAAAUUGCUCAUCUGGCUUAAUAUA